CAACACUUCCUAAACAGAUAUUUUGAGGCUGUGAGGUUGAACGUUUGAGAGUAUAUCAGUGUUUUUGUUUGUGGUCUUUCUGUUUCUAGGUGGAAGCUGAAUUAGUGAGGAUGACUCCUGCUCCUGUCAUCUCUAAGCUCCUCACACAUCUUUACCUGCACAUGAGGAAAAUCACUCCUGUAGAAUGCAGAACCUCUGGGGAUGUCCUGUGGAUUCUGUGGAUCCUGUGGGUUGCAGGGUGGGUCCUACCUAGACCAGGCUGAUCCUGGACCAUCCCACAGAUGCUCAAUCAGAUGUGGAUGUGGGGAGUGUGGAACCCAGAUGUUCAGAGGGAGAUGAUGCCACAUCUGGUCCAGCUGAUGGAAGGUCUUGAAGUUCUCUGACUGGCCUCGACUGAAGAUGGUCGUCUCACUGGAUUUAAGGUUCAGAUGCUCAGUAACAAACUCCACCAAUGAGCCAACAGGGAAGCUUUAGGUUUAUUAAAUGUUGCUAUGAAGGUAUCACUGUUUUUCUUUGUGAAUGCAAUGUGCUCCAACUGAAACUUGAAUUAGAACUUAGAAGUAAAUCCUUCCAUCUGAAAGGAUUUAGUUGCAUUAAUAACCUCAUAACAUUCUAAUUUUUAUUUCAGUCUUGGCUGGAAAUAGAAUCUCUGUAUUGAUUCAGGUAAAAACUGAACUUCACAGCAUGUUGAAGCAAAACAACCAGAUGAAAACUGUGAUGGUGUUGGAUUGUCAGACCGUAAUGUUGCAGCUCAAAGCAGCUUUUCUAUCUCAGUUCAUUCUGACAUUCAGCUAUGAAUCAACACAGCAGAUGGUGAUCCAUGCUGUGGAAGUCUCACAUCUCCUGAUUUAAUGGAGCUGCUUUGCACUUUUUACACUGUUUAUUCACCAACACUUUAUUUAAUAAAAGUUCCAUCUAGUUUUUAUGAGGAAAGUGAUGUUUUAAUUUCUCUGUGAAUAACUGCAGUCUAAUGCAACAGCUGGAGUUGUAACAUCUGUCCUGAUAUUGAUCAUGAAGUAUUGAUCAGAAUACUUAUGGUUAGCAGUCAUCCCUGAAGUUUUACAUUAAAAUCUUUACUUGUGUUGUGAACUUUGGUAAGAAGCAGAAACUUUUGCGUUGCCAUGGAUACAUGAGUGUUAAAUUCUGUCCAUGUUUCCAUUUUGGGAAAUUCAGUCCAGUUCCAGAAUGUGGAGGAAUUUAGUCUCACAAUCACAGACAACAAAUAUUAUCUGAAAGUCGGGUUAUUGUUGUUUAUCAGCACAAUACAAAAAGAUUAGUGUUAGAAAUAUUCCAGUUAAGACUCUAGAAUAUCAUGAUUUAUGUAAAUUUACCUCAAUAAUAUGAAUGUUCAGGUUAAGAUUGUACAGUGAUAUUUAUUAUGUAAGUUUAGCUGAUUAAAGUUUAUGACUCUGCACUAAAACAUUAUUUAAAUUGACAUCAUUAUUAUAAUAUUUAGGGUCAGACCCUACAGUAUUGAGAUUAAGAAAUCAAAUAUUCUAUAAAAUGUAAAUACACUGAACUCAUUUGGAUAUAUUUAAGUGAGACUCUACGGUAUUAUUUAUGACACAAAUCUAUCUAAAUCAAAAUUUUAAUAAUUUUCACGCCAAACAUUUACUGGACUGAUUUAAACAUUAAAAUCACUCCUUUCUAAUCCUCUGCUGUACGUUCAAACCUGAGGCCUUAAAUAGAAACACACAAGUAUCUGAUUGAAGGAACUUCUGCAGAGUCCUGGUUCCAGAACAUGAUGAUAGAAUUACAGACAAACUUUAACAAAAGCUGCCUGAGAGUUUACAGGUUUUUAUGUUGGAUUUCUUCAGUAAUUUAAUGAGAGUUAUCAGCAAAAAUCAAGUGUUCAUUUGAUGAACUUCAUUUCCUAAAACAUCCAGAAUUGGAGCUCAUAUCUUUGGCAGCUGUAAAGUUUCUGCUCCUUCAAAGUUCACAACACAAUGAAUGAAUUCCUAAAACACUCUCAAUGCUGGAGAACGUUUGUGAUGCUGAAGCAGUGACCAGUUUUUCUGUUUCUUCUCUGGAGAUGCACAAUGAGGGACGUCUGCAGAGACUGAGAAAGAGUCUCACCACAUCCUGACAUGAGGAAAAAGACUUUAUUGAAGACUACAAUGAGAAAAACUAUCAGACAGCAGACGGCUGCAUUCAAGUCUGUAGCUGCUGAAUUCAUGGAUGAAUCAUCUGGCACUAGAGAAGAAGACCAUCAAACAUCCACGUCAGCUGAUGGAGGUCCAAGAGUCUCACCCAACAAACAACCUACAGAGUGAAGACCUCGAAUCUGAUUGGACAGCCUCCUAUUCAGCCACAUUUUAGGCUGUUAGAUUGUUCCAGAUAAGACAAGUACAAGAUACUUCAGAGCUGUUCUACCACGAGCCUGACAGGAAGAACUCCAACAGCUACUGAAUGUUCCUGUGGUCCCCUCAAGGCUACAGGAGGAGCCCUACGAGGACGAGCCGGUCCACCUGAUGGUGGCCAGUCGCUGCGGUUCAAAGCCAACACCGACUACGUGGACUUCUACUGGACCACACGGAGGCCUUCAAACCGGACCAACAAGUUCCCCGACUCCCCGACUCGUGGGUCUGAG
ensembl:lncRNA